CGAUUCAUCUUCUUUAUUUCGACUUUUCGAAGAAAAUGAGCUGAAGAAUGCAAAGGAUUUAUAGAGGUUCAAGUACUAUAUAAGCCUACAUCCUCUGUGAAGCAACCAUGGAGCAUUUUAUUUCUUUUCUUUUUCCCUUACAUUUUUUUCAUCUAAGGUUCUCUAUUUAGAAUUUCUUACAAGGUUACACAUUAGUUGAGAGAAAGGAGUUCUAACUAAUUAACAGAUUUCUAGUUUGCUUUUGUUGUAGGGCUAACGGAGUUGUCGAGCUUGGUUAAUUUCUGAUGAACUGUUAACAAGAGGUUGAACUGCAGUUGGAAGGUAAAUAAAAUUGACUCUCUCUUUAACAUAAACGUAGCCCACGAAAGCAGUAACAGUCUUUCUCCUUUUGCCUUUAACCAAAUAAAAUGAGUAACAUAAAAUAUUAUUAGUAGGUUGGGGUUAGGAAGUCACAAAAAAACACACAUCGUCAUCAUUAUACCUAUGUCCUGCUUGAAUUCCGCAUUUUGAUUGAUUGAUGUGUUUUAAAAUUAAAACUCUUCAGUAAUUGAAAUAAGAAAAGAAACAAACAAAAGAAGGAAACUCAUAUCUCCGAUCCGACACUUCCAUUAUGGAUAGAUACGCGGUGCGGUGCGGCUCUUCAUCCCCUCAAUUUCCCAACUUUUUCUUUUCUUUUCUUUUCUUUUCCUUUUUGUAAUAAAAUAAAACUACAGGUUUAUUGUUAUAAAUAAAAUUUCAACGAAGAAAACUGUGACAGAAACAUCACCACUUUUUGCUUCCCUCAUCACACCCACUAAUUAGGUCAACUCUGAAGGCUGCCUAACUUUAUAAUCAUC
rnacentral:lncRNA from 1 species